GCUCCCUUAGCUCAGCUGGAUAGAGCAACGGAUUUCUAAUCCGUAGGUCGCAGGUUCGAAUCCUGCCGGGAGCG
rnacentral:tRNA from 1 species